rnacentral:ncRNA from 1 species
AUAAAAUAAUUAUAUUUUUGAAAAUUUAUUAUAAAUUUAUUUUACAUAUAAAUUUUAGUAUUUAAUUUUAAUUAUUUAAAUAAUAAUUAAUUUAAAUAUAUAGUAGUAAUUAAUAUUAAAAAUUUAAGAAAUUAAGAUUUAGUAAUAUAAAAAUUAAUAACUAAUUUUGUGCCAGCAGUUGCGGUUAAACAAAAGUUAAAUUAAAUUAUUUCAGUUUAUAAUAAAUAGAAUAUUUAUUAAAAUAAAUAUUAAAUUAUUAAGUGAAAUUUUAAUUUAAUUAAAUUUUAUAUAAUUAUUAUGAUUUAAUAAAUUUUAAUAUAAACUAGGAUUAGAUACCCUAUUAUUAAAAAUUUAAUUUAUAAUACUAAAAUAGUAAAUAAUAAUUUAUUGAAACUUAAAUAAUAUGGCGGUAUUUUAGUUCAUUUAGAGGAAUCUGUCUAAUAAUUGAUAAUCCACGAAUAAAUUUACUUAAUUUAUAAUUUUGUAUAUCAUUGUUAAAAAAAUAUUUUUUAGUAAAAAUAAUAUUUAAAUUUUUUAAAAAAAAGUUAAAUCAGAUCAAGAUGCAGAAUAUAAUUAAGAAUAUGAUGGAUUACAUUAAAUAUAUUUAAAUGAAUAGUUUUAUUGUAAUAUAAAUUUGAAGGUGGAUUUAAAUGUAAUUUUAAUUAAUUUAUUAAAAUGAUUAAUAAUUAAAAUAUGUACAUAUUGCCCGUCACUUUCAUUUAAAAGUUGAAAUAAGUCGUAACAAAGUAGAGGUACUGGAAAGUGUUUCUAGAAAGA